rnacentral:lncRNA from 1 species
GGGGCAGCGGGGCUGGGCUCCGGCCGGGAGUCAGACGAGGGAGCGCGCGCGCGCUCCCGGACAGUUCUCCGCAGCCGCUCGCCCGAGCCUUCUACUUGGCCAACACAGCUGCCUCUACCACCUCGCGUGCCCGGUUCGUGGGCUUUCAGUUACCAAGCAUGUCCUGAAGAUGAAGAUACUCUCAGCCUAACGUCUCCAAGCAAAUAUUGAUUCAGCAGUAUCCCCAGGCAAAGCCACACCAUAUAUCAGUGAACAGAGAAACAACUGCCCUUCUCCGGGCCCCUGUCUGAGAAGCUGGAGCAUCAGCCCUGGAGCUCUCUGGAGCAGUUUCCUUGCUCACUGCCCCCAGCUGAACACAGCCGCAUGCAGAGGUCCAAAGCACGUAAACAGGAUACCCACCCUGCAUUAUCUUAUAUUUUAAGUCAAUAUGAAGAUGGACAUUCUACCCGAGACCAAUUUCGAUCAAAUACUUUUGUCAAUAAAAAGAUACUAAUGU